rnacentral:rRNA from 1 species
CCUACGGGAGGCAGCAGUGAGGAAUAUUGGUCAAUGGACGAGAGUCUGAACCAGCAAAGUAGCGUGAAGGAUGACUGCCCUCUGGGUUGUAAACUUCUUUUAUAUGGGAAUAAAAUGUUCCACGUGUGGGAUUUUGUAUGUAUCAUAUGAAUCAGGAUCGGCUAACUCCGUGCCAGCAGCCGCGGUAAUACGGAGGAUCCGAGCGUUAUCCGGAUUUAUUGGGUUUAAAGGGUGCGUAGGUGGAUUGUUAAGUCAGUUGUGAAAGUUUGCGGCUCAACCGUAAAAUUGCAGUUGAAACUGGCAGUCUUGAGUACAGUAGAGGUGGGCGGAAUUCGUGGUGUAGCGGUGAAAUGCUUAGAGAUCACGAAGAACUCCGAUUGCGAAGGCAGUUCACUGGACUGCAACUGACACUGAGGCUCGAAAGUGUGGGUAUCAAACAGGAUUAGAUACCCGUGUAGUC